rnacentral:rRNA from 1 species
AGAGUUUGAUCCUGGCUCAGGAUGAACGCUAGCGGCAGACCUAAUACAUGCAAGUCGAACGGUAACAUUGGUGCUUGCACCAGAUGACGAGUGGCGCACGGGUGCGUAACGCGUAUGCAAUCUACCUUUUACUAGAGUAUAGCCCAGAGAAAUUUGGAUUAAUCCUCUAUAAUAUCUUUUAAUUUCAUGAUUUUAAGAUUAAAGUUUUAACGGUAAAAGAUGAGCAUGCGUCCUAUUAGUUUGUAGGUGAGGUAACGGCUCACCUAGACUACGAUAGGUAGGGGCCCUGAGAGGGGGAUCCCCCACACUGGUACUGAGACACGGACCAGACUCCUACGGGAGGCAGCAGUAAGGAAUAUUGGACAAUGGACGAAAGUCUGAUCCAGCCAUGCCGCGUGCAGGAUGAAAGCCCUACGGGUUGUAAACUGCUUUUAUACAGGAAGAAACACUCCGACGUGUCGGAGCUUGACGGUACUGUAAGAAUAAGGAUCGGCUAACUCCGUGCCAGCAGCCGCGGUAAUACGGAGGAUCCAAGCGUUAUCCGGAAUCAUUGGGUUUAAAGGGUCCGCAGGCUGUUUUUUAAGUCAGAGGUGAAAUCCUACAGCUCAACUGUAGAACUGCCUUUGAUACUGAAAAAACUUGAGUUAUUGUGAAGUGGUUANAAUGUGUGGUGUANCGGUGAAAUGCAUANA